rnacentral:rRNA from 1 species
AACUUUUAGCAAUGGAUCUCUUGGUUCUCGCAUCGAUGAAGAACGUAGCAAACUGCGAUAAGUAGUGUGAAUUGCAUUUAGUUCAGUAUCAUUGAAAACACACAAUCAAAACAUUUCUUUUGGUUUGAUUGGCUUUGGGUCUAUCAAAAAGUUUGGC